AGAGAGAGAUCUGCUCUUGGUGAGUGAAUGGUCCAUCCAAGAUGAAGAUGGCCCCCCACUGAAACGUGUCCUUGCUUUGUUUUCAAUUCCGUUUUUGCUUUCCUUUUUUUAGUCUGUUUUUUAAUUAUUUUUAAAUGAGAGAGAUGUAGGUCUUUCAUUGGAGGAGAAUAAUAAACAUGGAUAAUGAUCUAUGUGAAUGAGAUAGGAUCAUUGUGAUCCAUUGAUUAAUU
rnacentral:lncRNA from 1 species